rnacentral:rRNA from 1 species
GUGCCACUCUUAACGGGGUGGCUUUUCUGGAGUGUAAAAAGCUCCUGGAAUAAGGGCUGGGCAAGACCGGUGCCAGCCGCCGCGGUAA